GUCGACGAUACCUUCGGGUAUAGUGGCGCACGGGUGAGUAACACGUGGGUAUAUACCUUUCAGUGGGGGAUAACAUCGGGAAACUGAUGCUAAUACCGCAUACGCCCUUAGGGGGAAAGAUUUAUCGCUGAAAGAUUAGCCCGCGUCCGAUUAGCUAGUUGGUGAGGUAAUGGCUCACCAAGGCGACGAUCGGUAGCUGGUCUGAGAGGAUGACCAGCCACACUGGGACUGAGACACGGCCCAGACUCCUACGGGAGGCAGCAGUGGGGAAUAUUGGACAAUGGGCGCAAGCCUGAUCCAGCCAUGCCGCGUGAGUGAUGAAGGCCUUAGGGUUGUAAAGCUCUUUCGACGGGGACGAUGAUGACGGUACCCGUAGAAGAAGCCCCGGCUAACUUCGUGCCAGCAGCCGCGGUAAUACGAAGGGGGCUAGCGUUGUUCGGAAUUACUGGGCGUAAAGCGCACGCAGGCGGUUCGAUUAG
rnacentral:rRNA from 1 species